UGAGGAAUAUUGGUCAAUGGGCGAGAGCCUGAACCAGCCAAGUAGCGUGCAGGAUGACGGCCCUAUGGGUUGUAAACUGCUUUUAUAUGGGAAUAAAGUGAGGGACGUGUCCCUUAUUGCAUGUACCACAUGAAUAAGGACCGGCUAAUUCCGUGCCAGCAGCCGCGGUAAUACGGAAGGUCCAGGCGUUAUCCGGAUUUAUUGGGUUUAAAGGGAGCGUAGGCUGUUUGUUAAGCGUGUUGUGAAAUGUAAGAGCUCAACUUUUAGAUUGCAGCGCGAACUGGCAGACUUGAGUGCGCACAACGUAGGCGGAAUUCAUGGUGUAGCGGUGAAAUGCUUAGAUAUCAUGACGAACUCCGAUUGCGAAGGCAGCUUACGGGAGCGCAACUGACGCUAAAGCUCGAAGGUGCGGGUAUCGAACAGG
rnacentral:rRNA from 1 species